GAUGAACGCUGGCGGCGUGCCUAAUACAUGCAAGUCGAGCGAACAGACGAGGCGCUUGCUCCUCUCACGUUAGGGGAGGACGGGGGAGUAACACGUGGAACCCCUCCCUAUCAGACUGGGAAAUCUUCGGGAAUCCGGAGCUAAUCCCGGAUAACAUGUUGAACCGCAGGGUUGAACAGAAAAAGACGGUGUUGCUGUAACGUCUCGAUGGCUACGCGCCGCAUUAGCUGGUUGGUAAGUUAACGGCUUACCAAGGCAACGCUGCGUAGCCGACCUGAGAGGCGGAUCGGCCACACGGGAGCUGGGCCACCGUCCAUACUCCUACGAGACGCCCCAGUAGGGUACCGUCCGCAACAGGCGAAAGCCUUACGGAGCAGCGCCACGUGAGUUAUGACGGUCUUCGGAUCGUAAAACUCUGUUACUAGUGAAGAACAAAUUUGUAAGGAACUAUGCACGUCUUGACGGUACCUGAUCAGAAAGCCACGGCUAACUACGUG
rnacentral:rRNA from 1 species